rnacentral:rRNA from 1 species
AGUUCGAUCAUGGCUCAGAUUGAACGCUGGCGGGAUGCUUUACAUGCAAGUCGAACGGCAGCACGGACUUCGGUCUGGUGGCGAGUGGCGAACGGGUGAGUAAUGUAUCGGAACGUGCCUAGUAGCAGGGGAUAACUUACGCGAAAGCGUAGCUAAUACCGCAUACGCCCAUCGGGGGAAAGCGGGGACCUUCGGGCCUCGCACUAAUAGAGCGGCCGAUAUCGGAUUAGCUAGUUGGUGGGAGGUAACAGCUCGCAAGGCGACGAUCGCCAUGGUUUGAGAGGACGACCAACCACACUAGGACUGAGACGCGGCCCAGACUCCUACGGGAGGCAGCAGUGGGGAAUUUUGGACAAUGGAAACCCUGGUCAGCCAUCCCGCGUGGCCAUGCGAUGAAGGCCCUUCCGGGUUGUAAAGCACUUUUGGCAGGAAAGAAACAGCACGGGAUAAUACCCCGUGCAACUGACAGUACCUGCAGAAUAAGCACCGGCUAACUACGUGCCAGCAGCCGCGGUAAUACGUAGGGUGCAAGCGUUAAUCGGAAUUACUGGGCGCUAAAGCGUGCGCAGGCGGUUCCGGAAAAGAAAAGAUGUGAAAUCCCAGAGCUUAACUUUGGAACUGCAUUUUUAACUACCGAGCUAGGUGUGUCAGAGGGAGGUGGAAUUCCGCGUCGUAGCAGUGAAAUGCGUAGAUAUGCGGAGGAACACCGAUGGCGAAGGCAACUGGGAUAACUACUGACGCUCAUGCACGAAAGCGUGGGAGCAAACGGGAUUCGAUGCCCUGGUAGUCCACGCCCUAAACGAUCUCAACUAGCUGUUGGGGCCUUCGGGCAUAAGUGCGGCCUGACUAACAUGGCAGUUGACCGCCUGGGAGUACAGUCGCAAGAUUAAAACUCGAAGGAAUUGACGGGGACCCGCACAAGCGGUGGAUGAUGUGGAUUAAUUCGAUGCAACGCGAAAAACCUUACCUACCCUUGACAUGUCUGGAAUCCGAAGAAGAUUUCUGAGUGCUCGCAAAGAGAACCGGAACACAGGUGCUGCAUGGCUGUCGUCAGCUCGUGUCGUGAGAUGUUGGGUUAAGUCCCCUGCUCAAGCGCAACCCUUGUCAUUAGUUGCUACGAAAAGGCACUCUAAUGGGCCUGCCGGUGACAAACCGGAGGAAGGUGGGGAUGAUCGAAGUCCUCUUGGCCCUUAUGGGUGGGGCUUCACACACGUCAUACAAUGGUCAGGACAGAGGGGUCGCCAACCCGCGAGGGAACUAAUCGAAACCCGAUCGUAGUCGGAUCUGCAGUCUGCAACUCGACUGCGUGAAGUCGGAAAUCGCUAGUAAUCGCGGAUCAAUACUUUGAUGGAGCUCCGUUCCGAGUCUUAUACACACCGCCCGUCACACCAUGGGAGUGGGUUUACCAGAAGUAGUUAGCCUAACCGUAAGGAGGGCGAUUACCACGGUAGGAUUCAUGACUGGGGUGAAGUCGUAAUAAGGUAA